UCCAACCCCGCGCGUCCAUCGAAAAGUUGGGCGUGAGCUCGUAAGAGUUCAAAAGUCCGUGUUUACAUUCCGUGCUGAAAAAUGUUCCACUUGUAGUUCAAAUCCGAACAAGUGACAAUGGCUCGCUUGCUUCACUCCCCUCUUCUCUUGCUAGUUUUACAAGCGGUCGGGACAUGCUCAGGCUGCGACGAAGCUUUGUAUGGGAAGCUAUCAGCAUCGUCCGAAUUGUCUGCAGACAGGGGGGCAGACAAGGCUCACCUCGACAGCGGCUCUGCAUGGACGGCGAAAAACUCGGACUUUGAUCAGUACUUACUGAUCUCGCUCAAGUCCAAGAAGACCAUCACAUCCAUUGUCACCAUGGGCAAACAGCACAGUCCCGAGUUUGUUCAAGAGUUCAAGAUCUACUAUGGUGACCAUGGAGGGGACUUUACUGAGUACAAGGACAGGGAAGGCAAUCCAAAGCUCUUCAGAGGAAACAGUGAUGGUAACACGGAGGUGCGCAACGUGUUCGAGUACCCCAUCAUUGCGCAAUACAUUCGCAUCAACCCAACCCGGUGGAGAGACCGCAUUUCACUCAGAGCGGAGCUGUAUGGUUGUGAAUAUGAGGCAGAGGCGCUGCAGCUGGAUGGCAAGAGUUACGUGGUCAUGGACCUAAACCGCCGGCCAGUGACUUCUACGGAGGACACGCUGCGACUGCGAUUCAGGACCAACCAUGCGGACGGCCUUCUUCUCUACAGUUACGGAUCGCAGCGCGACCUCUUCACUCUUCAACUGGUGCACAACAAGCUGCUCUUCUCGGUCGACCUUGGAGGCGAAGGGGUGGUGACCGAGGUGUGGUGCGGGAGCCUGCUGGACGAUAACCUCUGGCAUGACGUGCAGAUUUCCCGUUUUCGCCGAGAGCUGGUUUUCACGGUCGAUCGUGUAGUGAUCCGUCAGAGACUGAAAGGCGAUUCCUUCCAACUGGAUUUGAACAGAGAGCUUUACAUUGGCGGUAUGCCAAACUUCAACCAAGAAGGAAUCAAAGUGGCAGCAAAUUUCACUGGUUGUGUGGAGAACUUGAUGAUAAACGACACCAAUGUCGCUUACGAACUGAAGCGGGACACGGAGAGCUACAUGUACACUAAGGUCGGUCAAGUGCUCUACAACUGUAGGUACGAACAAGUUGUCUCGGUCACAUUUGUCAGCUCAGACUCGUUGCUCCGGGUGAAUGGCUAUCUGCAGCCAAGCAUGAACUGCAGUUUCGAUUUUCGAACCUUCAACGAGCGAGGUCUGUUGCUCUACAACAAGUUCUCCAUUGAAGGCUAUGUCAAGUUAUACUUAGAUGCGGGUCGCAUUCGGGUCGAGCUUCAGGGCAAGAAGACUCCAGUGGUCCUCCUCAAGCCGUUUGAUCAUCUUCUCAACGACGGCCAGUGGCAUCGCCUGGUACUGGCCCUGCAAACCAACCGCAUUGAGCUGCACUUGGACGGCGUGCCCAGCAUCACCACACGUCUCUUCUCCCUAGAGACUGGCGGCGAGUACUUAAUCGGAGGUGGCGUGUAUGGCAUGCAGGGUUUCAUUGGCUGCAUGCGCUACCUGUACGUCGAGGGCCGCUACAUCAACGUGCUCACCCUUCCACCCAACCAGGUGCAAGGGCAGGUGCUGCGUGACGCCUGCCAGAUGGUGGACCGUUGCCAUCCGAACCCAUGCGAGCACGGCGGUGUCUGCAAGCAGGACUCUAUCGAGUUUGUCUGCAAUUGCACAGACACUGGUUAUGCUGGAGCGGUCUGCCAUGUCUCACUGCACCCGCUUUCAUGUGAGGCUUACCACAUGAAGAAGAAGCCCGACGAAACAAUGGUAAACAUCCUCAUCGACGUGGAUGGCAGCGGGCCACUGACUCCGUUUCCAGUUGAAUGUAUCUUCCAUCCGGACAACCGCAGUGACACAUUGGUGCACCACAAGAACGAGAUGACUACCGAUGUCAAGGGCUUCCGGGAACCAGGCAGCUUCAUCCAGGACAUUGUAUAUGACGCCCCCAUGGAGCAGAUGGUCCAUCUUGUGAACCGGUCCACGGUUUGCCGGCAGCGGCUCACCUACGAGUGCUUCAAUGCGCGCCUGUUUGACACAAGCGUGCAAGACACGACUCCCGACACAUUCUCGCCCUAUGGCUGGUGGGUGAGCCGGAGCAACCAGCGUAUGGACUACUGGGGAGGCUCCAUCCCCGGCUCACGCAAGUGCCGCUGCGGCCUCUACGGGUCCUGCCGCGACCCCCAGCGCUGGUGCAACUGUGACGCAAGCGUCGAGGAGUGGCUCUCGGACGGUGGCGAGCUCACCGACCGGGACUACCUUCCCGUGCGGCAGCUGCGUUUCGGUGACACUGGAUCUGCCUCCAUGCAGGAGGACAGAAAGCGUGGCCGCUACACCCUCGGACCACUGGAGUGCCAGGGAGACGCCCUCUUUGAUGACGUUGUGACAUUCCGUUUCACGGACUCAACCAUUGAGGUGCCGCAUCUGAACCUGCGUCACUCCUGGGAUGUGUACUUCCACUUCAAGACGACUGCAGAAAACGGUGUCAUCAUGCACAGCAAGGGACCCACCGACUACGUCAAGCUUGUACUCAUUGGAGGUGACCAGAUUCAGCUGCUGUACGAGACCGCUGGCGGAGGUCCACAGGGAGUGAGCGUGGAGACGUCGUACAAGCUGAGCAACAAUGAGUGGCAUUCGGUGCACAUUGAGCGCAACCGCAAGGAGGCACGCAUCGUUGUGGAUGGCAGCCAGAGUGCCGAGGUGCGUGAGAAGCCCGAUCGGUCGCACGCCCUCCACCUGCCGGGCAACCUUGUCAUCGGUGCAAGCGUGGACUACAAGGAGGGAUAUGUGGGCUGCCUGCGUGGCUUCAUGGUCAAUGGGGAGCCCCUGAACCUAAGGUUGCGUGCUCCUCCGGGUCUUUACGGAGUGUCUCUGGGCUGCGUGGGCAAGUGUGCCUCCAACCCGUGCCUCAACGGUGGAACCUGUCUCGAGGGUUACUCGGGCUACACGUGCGACUGUCAGUGGACACCUUUCAAGGGACCCAUCUGUGCUGACGAGAUCGGUGUCAACCUGCGAUCUGACAACUACGUACGCUACGACUUCGAGACAACGCUGUCCACCUUGGAGGAGUACAUUCGUGUGGGCUUCACCACUACGGAACACCACGGCAUGAUCUUUGGAAUGUCAUCGCGCACCGGGGAGUACCUGAACCUCAUGAUGUCAACCAGUGGUCACUUGAGACUGGUCUUUGACUUUGGCUUUGAACGGCAAGAGCUCAUCAUCAAGAAUGAAAACUUUGCUUUGGGUCAAAUUCACGAUGUCCAGAUCAAGCGUACCCACAACGGAGAGAGGCUGACAAUAUUUGUGGACAACUAUGAACCUCAGGUGCACACGUUCAACAUUCGAGGCAAGGCCGACGCACAGUUCAACGACCUGCUUAGCAUUUACGUAGGACGAAACGAGUCAAUGGGCACCGGUGAAGGCUUUGUAGGCUGCAUUUCACGAGUACAGUUUGACGACCACAUGCCGCUGAGACGCUACUUUCAAGAGAGCAGGCGGAGCAACGUACACGCCUAUCCUGAAGGAGCCGUGCGGGAAGACACUUGCGGCAUUGAGCCAGUCACGUAUGCACCUCCAGAGGAUGAGACACGGCCACCACCUACGCUGCCACCGGGGGUCUAUCGAGAGCCCUGGGCUGUGUCCAGCUAUGCCGACUCCGCAAUCCUGGGCGGUGUGCUGGCUGUGAUUCUGGCAGCGAUCGUGAUCAUGGCUAUCAUCUUGGGCCGCUACGUGUCUCGCCACAAGGGAGAGUACCUUACUUACGAAGACUCCGGUGCUAAGGACGCGCCUGAUGCAGAUACUGCUGUGGUGCACGGUGUCAGAGGUCACGACGUCACGAAAAAGAGAGAAUGGUUCAUAUGAUGGGUCGUCAAAUCAACUUGCAUCAUUACCUCCUCUACCAGGCAACGGCACCCUCUGGUGUCGAGCACCGUUGUGGCAUGGCGCGGCUCUGCAUUGUGUGUUUCCAGAAAUCUCUCUCGGGAUCUUGCUCGCAUAAGAUCAAGACACUGCUGCCCGUGAGAUCACGAGUUCAGCUCCUGGCCGUUGCAGCUACAUUUCAGCGGAGGUGACACGCUCAAACAUCUGUGCAUCUUGGUAUGGUAAUUUUGUGCGUUGUGUGCGUUAGAAGCAUCUGCAUUGUUGAUCGACUUUACCUGCAGCCAGUCACUGCAUUGUUGCACGAACAUUGUUAUCGGCACUUUUUAUCGGGAACUUCUGGGCACUUUUCCUGCUGUUCUUGUGAUGGUAAAGCAUGACUAUGGCAGCAGGGGAGUUUUGUGACUGAUCAUCAAAAAGAAAAAAAAAAAAAACUCUGUGCGCUGCAAUUUACACAUGCAAGUGCUUUACCAGUGUGCCUGAUGAGAAGUGCCAAGUUUUCUUGUUGAAUGCAUUUACAGACCUCCAAGCUGUGUUAAAGUUUGCAGCCACUGUUGUGGUUACUUUGGCUAUGGUUUUAACUUCAACGUGGAAAGGUUGUUGGUGGGUUUUGUACUACAAGUGACUUCUUGGUAGAAAACCUUGUUUGGAGGAACAAAAGUUUACUUCUCAACAGUCUAUGCAAAUGUUGUCAGCUUAAGACUAUCUUUUCAUUCACGUAGACUAUGGGUGGCGUGCCCUUUGGCGAAAACAGGUUACCUCGGCAUGCUGAAUCAAUGAAGUCACACCGACUCACAAUGAACUUACAAGCACUGUACAAAAAAGGGUUGGUCGCAAGCGGAGCUGUUUUACAUAUGAUCUGAAAUUAGAUUGUGGCUACUCAUUUUUGAUACAUUUUCAACACAUUCCUCAGGAGGCUUAACCCCCAGCUUAUUAUGUGGAAAAGCUUUUGAUGACAAGCUUAUUGUUGUCACGAGCUUGAAGAAAGUUGGUUAACACCUCAUUGGUGGUCAUUGGUCUGACGGCCAGGUGCCACUGUACAUCUGCAAAAUCAAAUGAAGGUUAGUGACAGUUGAACAUUCCACUUUUUGAAUGCACACUUUGGUUCUGUGAGAUGCGUCCAUUUGAUCCCAGUGUGAUUUUUCUGUUUGUGACAGCACUUAUAUUCUGUAUAGUAUUAACUUAUUGUCGGCAAACUAACGAGAGCUUGCUAUUUCAAAGCAAAUCACACUUUUUUAUUAACUGUUGUGGUAUUUAGAAGCAACUGCCAGGGACUUUAAUACCAUUCAUCAUUUUGAUGGACACGCAAAAACCAUGUUUGAAUGUUAAUUUCACAACUAAAUGGUGGCAUUUUUGGUUUGCUCCUUUAAUGCAAUAUGUCUGCGAAUCUCAUAGCUUUGUGAUAUCGUGAUGCGCUAAGAUGAGCAUUGGAUGAUGCCAGCAACUGGUUGGGACGCAAGAGAAGGCCGGUCGUCGAGUGGUUUGACCGACAGUGCUGCGACCAUGUCAAGCUAGACUCUUUCUGUCCUCCUUUUUCAGCACUUUUCUGUCUAGAGUAAGAACAUUAGUAUUUUUGUUUUAGCUGUUCAAACAUAUGGGACAGAAAUAUUCAGGACAUGAAACUAACAAAAGAAGAUUGUUACACGAUUCGGUUGCUUCAGUGUUUUUGUAUCUUCAGCGCUCCAAGAACUGCAUGUGUCUGUACAUAUCAGAGGCAGAGCCCGAAAUGAGCACAUUGCCGUCUGCUAUUACGGUUACUAAUCUUUUUGUACAUAUCAGGAAUUGAAUUCCCUCCACCCGUCACAUUUUUAUUCCCCUUGCACAUUAGUAUUGACCUCCCAUGCUUUUUUUAUGAAAAAUUCAAGCACGGCAGUGUUGCUCUUCGAUUUCACUCUUUUAGUGUCAAGAAUCUCUGACAAGUAGGUAGGUCGAAGUAGUAAUAAUCAGUUAUUUAAGUUGUGUCCGUUCCGCCCCUCCUUUUUUUUUUCUUUAAAGCAUAGUUUAACGUGUUCAGAGGGCUGCUGUUUCUUAUUUUCUGCUUUCUUGUUUGUCAUGCGCGUUCAUAAAGGCCUGCCUACUAGCCAAGCUAGUUAAGGCAGUUGUUUCCCUUUAACUAUCGUUUAACUAUCACUGCCAGACAGAGGAGACCCUUCAGCCUAGGGUCUGCCUGCGUUGAAGGCGGCACCAUUUGCUCAAGCUGGCUGACUCUUUAGCUGCACUGUUGCCCAUCUGGCUCGAAUGGCCAUAGCUGCAUCUCACCUGUACAUAGCGCACAUUUCACCGUUGUUCUCUCUUAACGGGGUCUGUGACAAAGGCAACAAGGUGCUAUUGUGGAUCGCAUAAAUGCGAACAGGUUAGAAGCAGGCAGAGAUGCUACCCUCUCAUUCCCGGUUUCAGCAUUUGUGAUGGCAGCAGAAAUUUAGCCACAGAGCCCUCACUAUCUCAUUGGCGGCUGGAGAAGUAGCGAUAUGAAACUGGCAGUUUCACGUUGUUUGGAAUGACUGAAAGUUGGGAAAGUUGGUAGGGAUUUAUAGUACGUAGUAGAGUUAAAAGAAGGCAUGCCAAUGCAGACGUGAGUAGAAAUGAAAAGGAACGGUGUUGUGCUGCCUCUUUUGUCCCUACCUGUCCCUACGUUUGAGUGCUUGCCUAUUGAGGUCACGCUGUCAUUCACAGGAUGUGUUGUGCUUCAUACUUUCUCGCCCGCAUUUAAUGUAUCCACAACAGCACCUGUUUGUAGCUAGCAUUCAGCAGUGUGUGUAAUGUGUGUUGAGUGUUUGUUACAGCCGAAAUCUUGCCUUUUGAUAGCAUUCAACCAACAUUUCCAACCAGGUACCUUACAGAGCAAAGGGCUGGUAACUCAGUAUCUUAGACUAUAUAUAAAUUUUUAUUAACUUUGAGGAUAGCACAGCAAGGCCAAUCCGAAUGCCCACUGGUUUUUUUUUUGGCUUUAGUUAUCAAUGCUUUUUUAGAGCUAACAUGCAAGACAUACCUGUUAGCUCUGCAGGUGUUAGUAUCUUGUUACUGUUUCAGCAUUUAAGACAGGUGCACUGGCAAAGUAAUCCAGACACUGUUACAUUGUGCUUGCAGCCAUAAACCUGCUUGCCCAAGGCCUUUAUUAACAGGGCCGGUAUUUUGUAACUAACGUUAUGCUCGAUUCUGUGCUAGUGUUAUAAUCCACAGCUAAGGGUCGCCUGGUUCGAUUGAUAGUGUGUGCACACCGUUGCUCUGACCACUGGCCAGGAACUAAAAGGUAUUAGCAUUAGGAAAGGCAUGGCUACAACAUGCCAAUGAAGGUGUGCUCGUUAGUUAACCACCGUAGUCUAUCGGUGAUGAACUUUGAUGACUAUCCUUUUUUUUUUUGCCCAUUGGAAUGGCGAGUUGCAACGAAAUGAAACGCAGAAUUUGUUAAAAAAUACUGAUUGCGUUCAGUGGGUACCAUUGUGAAAGGCAGCACUUAAUCGAUACCCAGGCAAUGGUUAAUGCAGACGCACAAGCUGCAACAUUUGCUGGUCUGUGCUGGGCAGCUUGAGUGUGAAGGCGUUGCAUCGUCUUUAAUUUUACUGCAGAGUGAACACUUUAAAAGGAUUUCAAACAUUGAUCGGGCGUUUCCUUUCACAUUGAUGUACUAUGUAGCGCAACUUCACCUUCUCUGCUGUGCUUUAUUAGAGAGUCGUAGAGUCUGUUUUCGUGAGACAAUUUGCUUUUCCUUGAGGCACUUGUUCAAACCAGGUAUUUUUGAUGUCGUUUCGCAGGAAAAGAAAAAGGCAUUGCGAGCCUCAAGCUUUCUUACAUUGUAAAAUCCUCUCUAAGCUUAUGACAUCUAUAUUGUUCCAUUAAUUAUACCUUGCCUUAGAAUGCAUUUGUGUUGCUUGGUUUGCUGAUGCCUUUUUUGAUCAUUCAUUUUUGUCAUUACGUGAAACAAUCAUGGUAACGUGAAUGUCAGCAAACCACUGUGGCAGCUGUAUAAUUAUUUUGGGUAGAGCAGACAGGAAUGUCUCCCGAUUUAGAUUACAAGAGUGAUAGAGGUGCAGCAUUAGUGUUAAGAGUGAACAGUUUUAGCUGUACAGUGUCUUGAAAUAUCUGUGUAGCUGAAAAAAAAAAGAAUACCCAGUAUUCAAAUCCGUCCAGUCCAGACACAACCUUAGGAAGUGUCUGUGUGUAUAUAUGUGUGUGUGCGUGUACAUUGUUUAUACACCAGCAGACCCGGUGAUCGAAUGAUGUCAUGGGAUCUGAAAAUAAAACGAAUCUCCCCUGGAACAUGUGUCAACAA